rnacentral:miRNA from 6 species
UGGAUUUCUUUGUGAAUCACCA